AUCAGAUUAAAGGAGGGAGGUGUUGCAGGUGCCAGACUGUUUCCAGGAAGCCACUCCAAGGCAUCAGUUCCACUGCCUGUGCAGCAAUGGCCAACAGCUGCUGCCUCUGUGUUUGUUAUUUCUGUUGUUUGCUGAAGUUGUCCUCGAUGUGGCUGUGUAGAUUCCUUCACACAAAGACGUGAUGUCACAAAUUCUUGUGCAAGGAGAAGUUCUGCAUGGGUUAAGGAGCCAGAAGACAGUGACAAAUGAAUAAAAUGACAUAACAAAAGCUCAACAUUUAAAUCCUAUGAAUACUUGCUGUGCACACUGAAGGAUUAAUUGAAAAAUACUUGGCAAUAAGCACAUUUCUGAAUACGAAAUGUAUUCACCAGUACUUUGCAAAUAAAAAAUGAGGCUAAGGUUAUGAA